rnacentral:lncRNA from 1 species
GGGGUUUCUAAGUUUCCAUUGUGGUGGCGUUCCAACUUUAUUCUUGUUGUAGCUUCCGGCACUUUAGCCAAAGCAUUCACUUUCUUAGCUUGAGCCUACUAGCCUUGGGGUUGGGUUAUACCUUAAGUGUAGUUCUAGUGCUUUCCUUCUAUUUAAGGGUUUCCUCUAUUUCUUUCAUUCCAUUUCCUUUUUCUUUACCUCCCUCUUGAGGUGGUGUACAUAUCUUGUUUGUGCGUGAA